CAAGCAAAAGCUAAAAAGUCCCCAGAUGCUGGUCUGGAGACCACACUUUUGUAGCAAGUUCCCCUACUUGUUUCCAAAUUCCCUUCCAGUUGAUUAGUGGAGAUUAGAAUCAGCUGGGGAGUAUUUUAAACCUCAAUGAAUGCCCAGUCUGCAUACCCAGAAAUUCUGAUUUAAUUGGCCCAGGCUUUGUGGGUUUUUUGUUUUUGUUUUUAAUGUUCCAGAUUAUUCUAAUGUGCCUCCAGGAUUGAGAAUUACUGCACUAAAUAGCAUUAAUCCUCUAUAUGAAACUUCAGUUUCUAGGCUGAAGCUCAGCUCUAAUGAGGACAUGAAAUUCGUGUUACUCUCAAAGGAUAGACUACAGUGGUCCCUGGGAGGGGCAGACUGUGCAGAUGGGGCCUUGGUACCUCAGUUGAGCUCCACUUUCUCGUUCCUCUGAGCUCCCAUAAGCUGCCACUGCUCAGAUUUCUGAGUCAGUUCUCUACGUGACCUCAUGUGCUGCCCCUCCUCUUGAGUCCCCAGAAGCCAAACCUGGUGACAUCUCCCAUGCCUUGGCUCACCCAUCCAGGUUCCUCAGCUGUUGAGUGAACACCUUCUAACCUCUUCACGCCUUCUUCCCGUGCAGGCCUCCUCAGGCGUGGGGCACUGUCUCAAGUUUAUUCCCUUCCACCCACAUCCCUGCUUCUGUGAGGCUGCUUGUCCUGACCAAGUGAAAUCAGGUGUGGUUGACAACUGACUGCCUUGAAGUGAGAUGAGCUGAACUUGCUCCCAGCCUGAGCUGGCUGUCCCCACUGCUCUGCUUUCUCAGUCCAUUCCCUCAGCUCCUGGCCUCUGGAUCUCUCUUAGAACUGCUGCUUCUUUCCUGGAUGAAGAAGAGAGCAACAUGACAUGGCUCAGUUGGGAAGUUUGCUCCCAUCCACUAAAAGUUUUAUAUUUCUCCUCCCUUGGUUUUUUUGGCCGAAAUCUUUCAUCUUGCAGCCAGAAUGCUGGAAUUCAUAAGCCUCUAGGUUGAGAAAAAUGUAAAUGAAAGAAUAAAUAAGUAAGUGAUAUAUGUAAUCAAAAGGAUGACCACAAUUUCAAUGCACACCCUUGCAGAAAGUCCAAUAAAUAUUUAUUGAGCAUCACUACAAGCUAGGACUGGACCCUGACCUAAAGUGGUGGAUAAGUUGGUGUGGUCCUUGCUCUCCCUCAGCUUGCAUUCUUUAGUAUACCAAAGCCUGUGCACCCAAAAGCAGCUGUGUGUGAAGUGGAGCUGACCAACGGGGUUCAACUCACAGGCUCAUGCCUCAGCUACGUCCACUGUUGGGUCCUGAUGAACAGCUAGGGCCGCCUAACCAAACCCACGUGCCUAAGGACUGUGGAUCCUCCUGGGAAUUUCCGAGGACGUGGGGGUUCAGGCUGCCAAGACGGAUGUGACCAGCAAGGAGCUUCUAAGGUCUGAAGAUUGGGAAGGUCAAGGGUCAAGCUCUCCUAAGCCCCAAAGAGCGAGUCACCCCUCUCGAGUCCUUUCCUGUGAGUUCUUCUCCUCCAACCCCUUGAAAACAAGAUCUCCAUUUCACCUCAGCCAUAAGGUGAUCCAGUGCCAGGAGUGUUUUUAGUCACUCUAACCAGUCCCCAGGGCCACAUCAAUGCAACGUCCAAAAAGGCAAGCGUUUGGAACUCUGAAGCCCCCGGAGACGACAACAGGACUCUGCAAUGAUGUGCUUUAUGGA
rnacentral:lncRNA from 1 species